rnacentral:lncRNA from 1 species
UUACUAAAUAACAUAAAAACUUAUCAUAUUUAGACAAAAACUUCGCAUUCAAUAUACACAAAAUUAGAUUAGACAAAAAUGGAAUAAAAAACAUAUAUAUAAUAGUAGAAUAAAAUAAUAUCAAAGACAUUAUAAUAAAACAUAAAAAACAUAUGAGAUGAGAGAUUAGAGAAGAUGAAAAAAAGAACAUAUGAGAUGCGGGAUUGAGAAGAAAUGUGCGAUAAAAACGUAAUUGGAAGAGAAAAUAGUAACAUAAAAGAUAAAAAAGAAAGAACAUAAGAGAUGAAAUAUUAGAGUAGAAAAAGCGAAAUGUACAUGGUAAAGAAUAUGAGAAGAAUGUGCGAUACUACUGAGAGAGAUUUAAGAAGGUUGAAAUUGAAAUCCUAAGUGUGAGUAAGAGAAAAUCAUUUUUAAUUGUAAGGUUAAGGCAU